AGCUUUGCACAGUGGCAGUAUCGUAGCCAAUGAGGUUUAUCCGAGGUGCGAUUAUUGAUAAUUGAAAAAAAUAAUAAAGUUAGAGAAGUAGGAAUUAGUCACAUUAUACCAUUUUACUCCAUAAAUAAGACCUGAAGUAUCCUCACGGUU
ensembl:snRNA U4 U4 spliceosomal RNA